rnacentral:sRNA from 1 species
AAGAGGUUUAAAAGAAUUGAUUUGA